rnacentral:telomerase_RNA from 1 species
CGCCGAUGACAGAUUGACCCCCUCUCCAGACUUGCUUCUCCCUCCAUCUACCAGCGCUGUUUAACAGUGCUUCAGACGAUGUGAAAAGAAAGGCAUUAGGCCAGGCAAAUCCUGACCAAACAGAAACAUCCGCACAACACCAAAACGCAGCAUUCAACCCAUUUUCGAUCUUGCGCCCGCCUCUUGGCUCUCAACCGCUCCUGUUUCCAAGCCUCUGCGUCUUUUUCGGACCUUGACUAGCUCCCUUGGGAGCAUGUCGGUCAAAGAUCAGAAGGCUGAACAAGCGUUGACGCGAAAAGGUAGCCUUCGAAAGGGCUUUAAAGCGGUACAAGACGAUCCUAACCCUAAGUUGUUUUAUGCAGAGUCUUACAAGGCGUUUCUCGCGAAGGCGCUGUGCCUUUGAUUCUUAUCGAGGUUUCGAGGCUGGUACUUUCCUUGACGAUGGCGGUAGGUCGAUUCCUUCGGCCGGGGAGGAAGAGACGAGAGGAUGGGGCAGAGGCUGUAAAACGCUGGAUACUCCUCCGAUUGCCUCUUUUCUUCAAGAGCUAAGGGGGUGAUGAGGUUUGACAGUCUUGCUCCGUCCCUCUUGUUGGUUUUGCCCAUGUUGGAGAAAUGAUCGCUGCCCUUGAAGAGGAAAGACCGCCAAGUCUCGGGUCACGAUGCGGAAAGGGAGCAAAGCGGCAUCUUCGAGAGAAAGCGUCUUUGGCGUGUGUAAAAGGUCCCUUUCGAGGGGAGGUCGCGGCCCCACACGUAUGGGAACUCCGCCACCUCAAUUCCUUUACACUAUACGCCCUCUGCCUACGUCGAUUACCCCUCAACUGGUGCAAGCAUUCCUUCUUUGUAGGUUUGCGAUUUGACCCAGGUCGAUGAACCCACUCUCACUUUAUGCAACGCAUAAAGAGCGCAAUGGAGUGCGCACCGGCUCUUUGUUCUGUCCUUCUUAUCGCCGAUUCAAGUAAGAAUGAAGGACGAAUGCCCGUUUGUUCGUUGUGGCGAGGGUUUUUUUUUUUUUUCAGGGUUCUGCUGCCGACAGCUAUCUUGGUCGUGUUUGGAAGAGGAGAAGCGGGUUUCAGGAGGUGGUGGUAUUUCUCGAGGCGAAGUUAAAGACCUGACUCGGAUGCGUGCAAGGUUUGAUUCUUUCCCAUCCAUUCUUCCUCUACCACUGUUUCGAUGGCAUCGAAGCGUCGAUUCGGCUUUACGUAAGGCACAGCAGGAUGUUCAAACGCAUCUUCUUCGGGGACCAAACACAGCUCUACGGAGGGUACAGGGGUUUUCAAACAUCCGUCUCGCCUUCUUUGAAUCUCUUUUGGCAAGCUUUUCGACGUGGCUGACGUUCGACUUUGCUUGAUCCACCCUUUCCAGUAGAGGUCGCGAGGAGAUCGUUGCUCGAUGGGAGAAAAACUGGAAGAAGAGACGCCAAAGGAGGGGUUGCAGGGUGUAUGAGGACUCCGAGUGUUGAUAGAGCUUCGUGCUCGCCUGGUUUCCAGAGGGUUCGCGUUGGAACGUUCUGCACGCUGCUUGAACGUAAGCUACAGAACGCUAGAGGAAGAGGAACAGGAUGCGGAAGAAGUGUUGUAAUUUUUCUUACCCUUUUGGGG